rnacentral:rRNA from 1 species
GCCGGCAGCUAGCUCUCUGCAACUCUCACAUGGUCGCCCACUGAAGCUAAGCAGGGCUGCGCCUGGUCAGUACCUGGAUAGGAGACCACAUGGGAAAGCUAGGUUGCUGCCGGAA